GUUGAUUAGCUUGAUUAUGUGAUCCACCAGAGCACUGUUCUGACUUCAUAUUCUUUAUUUCUCAUAACAGAGGAUCAGGGCAUGCAGCAGUGUGCAAAGGAUAGCCUAGUAGCUCCACGCUGGCAUGGGCGAAGCCAUCUGCCUGUGCUGAAACUCUGAAUUGCCACAUGUUAAAGCUAAAAGUGACACCAAAGGAGAAGCCACUUCUGAUUGUUCCACUCUGCAUUCCAACACCAAGAACCAUAUCCAGCAAACAGUAGGUGCUCAGCCUUUAACCAGAGCCGCACAUCAGAAUGAAUUAGAUGAUUUGAAGCACACACAUGCACAUUUGCGUACACUUCUAGGCCUACCCUCAGAAACACAGUCAGUGGAUCCAGGAUAUGGAACAGAGGAAGCUGAACAAACGUCAAAACAAAUGGCAUUUCUUGGAUCCACCUGAGAACUGAAGUUGCAGGGGAACUGCCAUCUCAAUGCGCAGAGAGAAAGGUAUAUCGAGAGAGAUAAAAUAACCACGAUCUGCUUACACGGAGUAGUGCGCACUGGAGCCAUAGAAGGGCACUUAAACAGCAAUAUUGAUGAAUUACUGCAGGCCGAACGUGGACUAGUAUGGCAGUGAGAAUCUGCUGAAGGUCCCAGGCCCAAGGGAGCCUUCACACUUCCACACCAGGAUUUUUUGGUGAGGAUUCAAAAGAUCACUUGUGAUUAUGGCAGAAGAAGAGGAAGAUAAAUCUUUGUGAAAUUCACUCAGAACCUUCUAUAUUAUUCCAGGUAUAAGGACUUUGCCCAGUUCUGAAACCUUAUUCCUGCCCGGAAAGGAAAUUUCUUCUCCCUUCAGCUAUCUCUUGCCUUCCCUUCUCACCUGAGUGAAUGGUUUACGGGGCUCAGGGAUUUAAGGAGGUAGACUGGCUGGAAAGGAUGUAGCCAGGGAACUAAACGGGGGCAGAAGCAAGAAAGCUAUGCAAUUGAAUAAACACAUCAAAGUCACAAUCCCAAGAUAGAACCCACAAAAAACGAGAUUUAAUCAGAAGAUUACAGAACAUUCCUCUUUUCUGACACCUUAUCACCACGCCAAGAGGGCUCAGAAUGAUAACAGCAGAUUACAUCUGAAAGAGCUGUAAGGCACAAACUGUCUUUGAGGAAGAGGUACAUAAGAAGACCAUAGUCCCGGAAAAAAACAAACAAACAACAACAAAAAAAAGUUAAAGAGCCCUGGAAAACUUGGAAGCUUCUGGCACCUACAGGAGAGUUUACAAUUUUAGCUGCUGAAUGAAGAGACUGUUUCAAUAAGGAAGAUGUGAACUUUUUUUAAAGGUGAUAAUGAGUUGAGUGAGAUAACCUAAUAUGUCCAGUGAAUGCGAAAAAUGGACAUGAUAGGUUACCUUGACCAAAGUACAGUAAUUUCACUGAUAUGGUGAAGAUUGGAAAUGAAUUGAUAAACACUUGCCUACUUUAUGGUAAACCCAUUCAACACCCUAAGAUAGCCUGACAUUUUACAAGGUGUUAAGUUGAAUCAUGUAUAUAGAAUGAUAUAAGAAAUCCAAAAAUAGCAA
rnacentral:lncRNA from 1 species